UACGUAGGGGGCAAGCGUUGUCCGGAUUCAUUGGGCGUAAAGAGCGUGUAGGCGGCCAGGUAGGUCGGUUGUGAAAACUGGAGGCUCAACCUUCAGAGGUCGACCGAAACCAUCUGGCUAGAGUCCGGGAGAGGAGAGUGGAAUUCCUGGUGUAGCGGUGAAAUGCGCAGAUGUCAGGAAGAACACCCGUGGCGAAAGCGGCUCUCUGGAACGGUACUGACGCUGAGACGCGAAAGCGUGGGGAGCGAACAGG
rnacentral:rRNA from 1 species